rnacentral:rRNA from 1 species
UCCUUAGAUGUUCUGGGCCGCACGCGCGCUACACUGACGAAUGCAACGAGCUUAUAACCUUGGCCGAAAGGUCUGGGUAAUCUCCAAAUUUCGUCGUGAUGGGGAUAGAUUAUUGCAAUUAUUAAUCUUCAACGAGGAAUGCCUAGUAAGCACAAGUCAUCAGCUUGCGUUGAUUACGUCCCUGCCCUUUGUACACACCGCCCGUCGCUCCUACCGAUUGAAUGGUCCGGUGAAGCGUUCGGACCGUGGCCUUUGGACGGUUCGCCGUCUGUUGGCUGCGGGAAGUUCGUUAAACCUUAUCAUUUAGAGGAAGGAGAAGUCGUAACA